rnacentral:ncRNA from 1 species
AGUACCGGUGAAGAUGCCGGUUACCUGCAGUUAGACGAAAAGACCCCGGAAGCUUUACUACAACUUGGCAUUGAAAAUACGUUUCAAAUGCGUAGCGUAGAAGGGAGACUUUGAAGUUCGCCUUUUGGGGCGGAUGGAGUCGCCGAUGAAACACCUUUCUUUUGCGAUGUAUUUUCUAACCAUACCAGAACCCCAUUGGGUUCUGGAGAUUCCAAAUUACAAAUUCCAAAUCCCCUGCCUGCGCCGAAUCGGCUUCGGCAGGCAGGCAAACAAUUUCAAAAUUCCAAUUUCCAAAUAUCAAAACUGUCUUUUUGAACAUUUGAAUUUUGGUUAUUGGGUAUUGUUUGUAAUUUGGCGCUUUGGAUUUGGUGUUUCCAGCCUCCUGUGGGGAAGCUGGUGUGGAACACUGCCUGGUGGGUAGUUUUGGUGGGGCACUAUCCUCCUAAAAAGUAAUGGAGGAGUCCAUUAAGGUCAGCUAGGCGCGAAUGGAAACCGUGCCGAUAGUGUAUAGGCAUAAGCUGGCUUAACUGUGAGGCGUGAGUGCCAAACAGAUGCGAAAGCAGGGCUAAGUGAACCGAUGGUCCGUGUUAGACGCGGCCAGAGAUUAUCUGAUAAAAGCUACUCCGGGGAUGGACACUGAAAUAAGUGUCUUGUUGUCCCUUCUGCCAGCAAUGGUAGAAUUAGUAUGUGGCUUAUAACGGUGGAGCAAGAAUCGGUCUUUCCUCGCAAGAGGUUUUCGUAUUUUUGUAAUACCGUGGGAAGUCAAGAGGACAUGAUGAAGUUAAGUAAACGACAAAACGCAAUUCUUGUCGGCUCAAUUUUAGGUGAUGCGUAUGUGCAAGCGACUGGAAAGAAGAAUGCGCGCUUGCGAUAUGAACACGGAGGAAAACAAAAAUCUUAUCUUUUUUGGAAAGUACAAGAAUUACAACCAUUAUUCAAUGGAACUCCCUGCUAUUUGGAGCGUAAGCACCCGAUAAGCGGAGAAAAAUAUUCUUACUGGCGACACCAAAGUUUCAGUAAUGAAUUAUUGGGGCAAUGGCGAAAAUUCUUUUACCCUAAAGGAAUUAAAUGUAUUCCUAAAACAUUGGCAAAAGUUUUGACCGAACCGGUCGCUCUUGCUGUGUGGUAUAUGGAUGACGGGUAUUAUUACGUGAAAGAAAAUUCCAGUUAUCUAUAUCUCGGCAGGACUUCGCGUAUUGAAGCGAAGAUAGCGCAACUCGCACUUAAAAAGAAUUUUGAGUUGUUUCCCGUUGUGGUGGAUAAAAAAAGAAAAGGUUUCGUAUUAUAUUUUUCUCCUAAAGAAACGGAGAAAUUACACAAAAUUAUUUCUCCAUUUGUAUUACCAAUGUUUGCUUAUAAACUUCGUCAUAACUUUCUGACCCCGUAACGACUGGAUUUCGCCUCAUCGGCGAAUGAAGAUAGCGGUAGCAUUAGCGCCAGACGCUUUUAAAACGCUGCUAUAAUACGCCACCCCCGCAAAACUUUUUGUAACAAGUUAGGCGGGUGAAGAUAUAGUCUAGUACUUAAAAAGUAUUGAACAGGCUAGUUCCGCCUAAGAGUUCAUAUCGACGGCGGAGUUCGGCACCUCGAUGUCGGCUCAACUUAUCCUCGGGCUGGAGAAGGUCCGAAGGGUAACAGCGUUUGCCCCUUCGGGAAGAAUUCCCGAAGCAAACCAACUCAUAACGGUGGAGCCCAAGUGCUUUAAUUUGAUAUAAUUAAAAAUUAAAGGAACGGGUAAUACCGUGGGAAGUUGAUGACAAAAGAUAUUUCGUCAAGAGAAAAAGAAAUAAUUAUCGGCAGUGUUUUGGGUGAUUUACAUAUCGCUCGGCUUAAAAGUGACGCCCGACUAGAGAUUACCCACUCAGCAAAACAGAAGGAUUAUGUGUUCUGGAAACAUCAUGAAUUAAAGCGAUGGACUAUUGUUGAACCUCGUGAAGUUCGAAUUCACGAUGUGAGGUAUGAUAAAGUCUAUGUCCAGUGGCGUUUUGCCACCGGCAUAAAUAAGGAGUUCACGAACUUUCACCAGUUAUUUUACAGGGAUGGUGUAAAAAUUAUUCCGAAAAAUAUUUGUGAAAUUUUAACCUCCCCAUUAAGUCUUGCCGUCUGGUUUAUGGAUGACGGUGGCAGAAGAAAUGAUAGUUACGGACUGUUUCUUAAUACCCUUUCUUUUAAGCUUAAUGAGCAAGAGUUAUUACAACAAUGUCUUAAAAAUAAUUUCUCUCUUGAAACGCGAAUACAUUGGAUACAAGACGGAUAUCGGCUAUACAUUCCAAGUAAAUGUGCAAAACAUUUCUGUGAGUUAGUAUAUCCGCAUCUGCUUCUUUCAAUGCAUUACAAAUUGUCAUUUAACCCCGUAACGACUUCGUUUGCUCGGCUUGACCGAGCGCGAGAUAGGAAACUUUAGUUUUCUAUAACACGUUGGUGUCCUUAAUCGAAAUUUAAGGGCAAAGGUAUAGUCUAUGCCGCUAGGAAUAGUGGAUUAAGUUAAAAAAUCAUGUUGGCUGUUCGCCAAUUAAAAAGUUACGUGAGCUGGGUAAGUGAAAUUCAUGAGCCCAGCAAGAGUUCUUCUAAUCGAGGAGAAAUGUUAUAAAAAUUGACCAACUUAAAUUAAACGAAGAAAUAAAUAAACUGACUCAUAACGGUAGAGUCCUAAUACCUUGUCUCAAGGUAAGGAUAAUAUCGUGGGAAGUUGUGAACUUCAUUGAGAAUUUGUUCUCAAAAUUUUGAGGUGGUAUGUGAUGGAAUUCCCCCCAUGCCUUUAGGGGGUGCUAUAUUAAUUAAAACGAUUGGCUGCCUCGUUAUGUUCUUUGCGGAAACGCAGAGAAAUAGAGGUGGAUUGGGUCGUGACUGAUUACUGUAGCAUUCCCACUCAUACUUAGCUUUAUAGCUAGGAUUCUCAAUGAAGCUCACAACCCCGUAACGACUUGCCUGCAUUUUGCGGGCAGAGUAUUCGCUUUAAGCGGGUGCUAACACGUCAGUCCCGAUGUUUGAAAAGUCGGGAAAGGUAUAGUCUAAGCCAUAAGUAAUUAUGGACGAAUAAAAUUGUCAGACCGUCGCGAGACAGGUUGGUCUCCUAUCUACUGCAGGCGUUGAUUCUUGAGGGGAGUCUUUUCUAGUACGAGAGGACCGAAAAGAACGGAUCUCUGGUGUGUCGGCUCUACUGCCAAGUGGACCGCCGAGUAGCUAAAUCCGGAACGGAUAACCGCUGAAAGCAUCUAAGCGGGAAGCCGUCCCCAAGAUUAGGAAUCGAACCGUGCGGAGCACGGAAAUCCCAAAUCCCAAAUCCCAAAUCCCAAAUCCUCUGCCUGUGCCGAAUCGGCUUCGGCAGGCAGGCAAACAAAUUCAAAAUUCCAAUUUCCAAUUUCCAAAUUCAAAACGAAAUUUUUCGUUUGCCUGUUUAGAUUUUGGUUAUUGGAUAUUGUUUGUAAUUUGGAAAUUGUUUAUUGGAGUUUCCGCGCUCUGCGCGGGAGAGGCCCGUCGGAGAUUACGACGUUGAUAGGCUCUAGGUGUAAGCAUAGUAAUGUGUUCAGCCGAGGAGUACUAAUCCGCCGA